GGUUGGUCUGAGUGCAGUGGUGUUUACAAUCAAUUGACUGCAACUAGUUAUAGUUUUCUUUGCCCCUUCUCCAUUUUCACUGCUUCACUUGACCAGCCUUAA
rnacentral:Y_RNA from 1 species